rnacentral:lncRNA from 1 species
UAAUUAAAUUAACGGUACCAAUUUUCUUGCACCAGAUGCGCAUUUCGACAAUACAUGUCUCUUCAGUGAUGCUCGUGGCCAAAAUAUUUGAAAAUCCAAAGCUUAUAUAAAAGAUGAAGAGCUAUAAUCCAAAAGGUCCAAAAAGUAUAGCCAAAUCCGUGAAAGGAAUCAGAGCUUUGCAUGAGGGAGAUACAUUCCUUAAUUUAUAAUAAUUUAUAAUAUUUUGUAACAGCAAAUUUUAAUAACACAAAAAAACCGUAUUUUCAUGCCAGUACCGAAGUACUGGUUACUGGGCUGCUGAUACCCUCGGGGACUAAUAGUCCACCAGCAGAGGCAUCGACCCAGUGGUAGUAAUUAAAUUAACGGUACCAAUUUUCCUUGCACCAGAUGCGCAUUUCGACAAUACAUGUCUCUUCAGUGAUGCUCGUGGCCAAAAUAUUUGAAAAUCCAAAGCUUAUAUAAAAGAUGAAGAGCUA